rnacentral:rRNA from 1 species
GAUGAACGCUGGCGGCGUGCUUAACACAUGCAAGUCGAACGGAAAGGCUCCUGCUUGCAGGGGUACUCGAGUGGCGAACGGGUGAGUAACACGUGGGUGAUCUGCCCUGCACUUCGGGAUAAGCCUGGGAAACUGGGUCUAAUACCGGAUAGGACCAUCGUUUAGUGUCGGUGGUGGAAAGUUUUUUCGGUGUGGGAUGAGCUCGCGGCCUAUCAGCUUGUUGGUGGGGUAAUGGCCUACCAAGGCGUCGACGGGUAGCCGGCCUGAGAGGGUGUACGGCCACAUUGGGACUGAGAUACGGCCCAGACUCCUACGGGAGGCAGCAGUGGGGAAUAUUGCACAAUGGGCGCAAGCCUGAUGCAGCGACGCCGCGUGGGGGAUGACGGCCUUCGGGUUGUAAACUCCUUUCGCCAGGGACGAAGCGAAAGUGACGGUACCUGGAUAAGAAGCACCGGCUAACUACGUG